rnacentral:sRNA from 1 species
AUUUUGUGUAGCCGCCGAACCUUGUUGGAGGUUCUGGGGCGCAGAACCGCUACUGCUGCUUCGGUCUCUCCUUGGGAAAAAAUAAAAUUUGAACCUUUUGGAGCUGUGUGCUAAAUCUUCAGUGGGACAAUGGGUUCAGACAAAAGAGUGAGUAGAACAGAGCGUAGUGGAAGAUACGGUUCCAUCAUAGACAGGGAUGACCGUGAUGAGCGUGAAUCCCGAAGCAGGCGGAGGGACUCAGAUUACAAAAGAUCUAGUGAUGAUCGGAGGGGUGAUAGAUAUGACGACUACCGAGACUAUGACAGUCCAGAGAGAGAGCGUGAAAGAAGGAACAGUGACCGAUCCGAAGAUGGCUACCAUUCAGAUGGUGACUAUGAUUCGAGAAAUGAUGGAGUCCUUCGAAGGCCCUCAGCCUGCGGAUGUGAGGCUGAUGAAGAGGAAAACAGGUGAGAGCUUGCUUAGUUCCUGAUAUUAUUGUUCUCUUCCCCAUUCCCACCUCAGUCCCUAAAGAACAUCCUGAUUCCCCCAGUCUUCAAGCACAUGAAUUCAGAAUGAAAGGUUUGCCAU